rnacentral:lncRNA from 1 species
CCCAGGCUCGUGCGGACGGCGUCGGCGACGGCGCGGCCGGCGUUGAUGUUCGCGGAUCGGAUGUCUUCCUUGCGUUUGUUGUCGACGAAGGACUCCGACUUGGAUGCGCGGGGUCUCGAUGCCGUGGAUGCGGCCGCCAUUUUUGAGAGGUAUAGAUCUGAUAAGAGAGUGAAAAGGAAAGCCUAGAGGGAGCCAACGAGAGAGUUCUGGAAAUGGAAAGAGAGGAAAGGAGAUUUGAAAUUUUCUGUAGGGUUUACGCUGGCGUUUGGUUUCAUGAACCAAUCUAUUCCUCUUUAAAAUGGGCCUCUUCGGAUUUUGUAAGUAAAUCGUAUUUAGCCCAAAAGCCCAUUAUGGAUCUCCGAGUUUCCAAAAGUUUACGUUUACUAGAGCAUAUGAUUUUCUCACCCAUAGAUUCUAUAAAGAAAAAUUAUACGAGUUUUUCAAAUGCAAAACCUACUCUAUUUUCUUUCUUUAGUUUUUUCUCACGUUUUCUACAUCUUUUCAAUUGGUGACUUGGUGAGAGACUAUUUUAUAAAUUCACCAAUGAUGAUGAUAGUCAUAUGUAUCGUGUCAAUAAAUAUGGAAAAAACAUCAAACCAAUCCGAAGUGAAAUCUUGUUAACCAGCUUUUAAACCGGUCUUUUUCCAUUUCACCUGAAAGGGAAAGAUUUUUUGUUGUAGCUGUGUUCCAUUAUACAUGUUGAUGUGACCAUGUCACACUCACAUAGUCAUGGUCCAUAUGUUUAUGAAAAAGUGGUUUUAUGUAUGUAAAAUGACAAAUUAAGUUAACGUCCGUUGAACCGUGAAUUUCAAAAUUUAGUUAACUUUCGAUUUUCCAAAAUUUACAUUUACUCCUAUUAUGUAUCCAAUAUAAAAUCGAACCAAACCGAAGCAAAAUCUUGUUUGGAAAAUAGUUUUUUUGGGAUUUAUUGUAAUUAAUUUGUCGAACAUACUUUAAUUAGUGCAUUUGUUAUGACGAGUGUAUGAUUAUGAUUAGAGUAAUCCACGAAUUGAUAAAAAUGGUGGAACCAAGGUUUAAAUCGGAUCGACCAAAGAUGUGGCCGAUUGGUCGAUAUGGCCGGAUUAUGACUUGAUAACCUGAAACAAAGGGAAUUAAAUGAUAUGAGGUAUGAUAUGAAUGAAACAAGAACAAUAAACAAAAUAAAGGGAUAGAUAUGGCGGAAUCAAGCUGCUGAAUGUGUAUCACUCUCAGCUUGAUUAGAAGAUGAACUGAAGUGGAUUUGCGGAGGAAGGUUUGAUUGGAUCUCUCAAUCUGAUGGAAUGAUGGAUCGAAGUGAUUGACUCUCUCAAUCUGUGCACUGAGCUUGUUUGAUUUGCAGAAUCUUCUUAAUCAUCCCCAAGAUGUAGUUCCUCUCUUCUUUCAAGAUCCUAUCCAUCUGAGUGUAAUCAGAGACAACAAUACUCUGCUCGAUGUCAGUCUUCGGAGGCGAGAUCUGGAACUGAAUCACAGCGAUCUUAGCAUUCUCCAUCCUCGUAGGUCCACCAGCGGCGUGACUCACCUUCUUGUCAAACACCAAACCAUUCACAGUGUGUGUAUCGUCAACAGUCCCACCAAGCUUCUUAACAAUCUUGAUAUCACGCAAAUCAACAAUCUCCGGCUUCUCCGGAUCAAUCACGGAGAGAACCGCAUCUACAGCUAACGGAGCGAGCAGUGUGGAGUACUGGCUAACAACCUUACUGUUCAGCGACGUGCUCGCCGAUUUCACGAGAGAGUCUCUGUCAGUUAGCUCCACGGGUACAGCCAUGGCGGUUAAGAUAUCAACGGACUUAGCGCAAGACUUGUGAAGCGCAUCUGAGAUCACGGUAGGGUGGAUCCCGGAAGCUAAGAGUGAUUGGCACACUCUCAGCAAGGCUCCGGCUAGUACGACGACGGUGGUGGUCCCGUCUCCGGCGGCGGAGUCCUGAGAUUUGGAAAGCUCCACCAUCAUCUUCGCCGCCGGCUGGAGAACGUCCAUUUUGUUGAGGAUCGUGGCUCCGUCGUUGGUGAUGAUGACCUCGCCGCUCGCGGUGGAGAUCAUCUUGUCCAUCCCCUUGGGGCCCAGGCUCGUGCGGACGGCGUCGGCGACGGCGCGGCCGGCGUUGAUGUUCGCGGAUCGGAUGUCUUCCUUGCGUUUGUUGUCGACGAAGGACUCCGACUUGGAUGCGCGGGGUCUCGAUGCCGUGGAUGCGGCCGCCAUUUUUGAGAGGUAUAGAUCUGAUAAGAGAGUGAAAAGGAAAGCCUAGAGGGAGCCAACGAGAGAGUUCUGGAAAUGGAAAGAGAGGAAAGGAGAUUUGAAAUUUUCUGUAGGGUUUACGCUG